rnacentral:rRNA from 1 species
GACGAACGCUGGCGGCGUGCUUAACACAUGCAAGUCGAACGGAGUGGCGAACGGGUGAGUAACACGUGGGUGAUCUGCCUUGCACUUCGGGAUAAGCUUGGGAAACUGGGUCUAAUACCGGAUAGUGCAAGAUGAGGUAGCGGCCUAUCAGCUUGUUGGUGGGGUAAUGGACUACCAAGGCGUCGACAGGUAGCCGGACUGAGAGGGUGUACGGCCACAUUGUGCCUUGGAUAGGACCCAGAGUCCAACGGGGGGAAGGAGUGGGGAAUAUUGCACAAUGGGCGGAAGCCUGAUGCAGCGACGCCGGGUGGUGGAUGAAGGCCUUCGGGUUGUAAACUCCUUUCGACUGGGACACGGUACCUGUAUAAGAAGCACCGGCUAACUACGUGCCAGCAGCCGCGGUAAUUC